ACCAAAUAUCAAACAGCAUCAUUGUGAAGUCAAAUCAGAAGAAGAGGAAAAGAAGGAAAAAGAGAAUAAAAGAGAAAAGAAAUAAAGUGAAAAGAAAAAAGGAACAAGAAGAAAACAUGGCGGAACAGUGGUUGUUAUACUCGGAAUAUAAAAAGGGACGGACAAUGAUGGAAAAUUUAGAAGCGGCAGGCAAGGCAACACAAAAAAAAAACAAAAAAAAACAAAAAAAAACGGAAGUUUGGUGUCACCUUUGAAAAUUGAUUUGCUCGUGUGAUACAUCUACAAACAAGCAGAGAGAGAGAGUCGGUUUUUACCUGCUUCUGGGCCAUCUGUAAGAGCAGCGUCCUGACAUUGAUAAAUUAAUGGAGGAUAAACGAAGACAAAUACUUGGUCCUUUGAGUGGAAUCCAGUUGAUAAAAAAUCUAUAUGGAAUCCAUGCCUUUUCAAGUGGGAAAACUGCACAAAGUAAAGGAGAACUUGACCAUUAUUUGAACAGAAAAGUCCGCACCGCCGCUGCUGCUGCUACAGGGAGCUGUCCGUGGUGCUGCUCUCCUCCUCAGCCUCCUCUGCGCGCACCACCUCCCCUUCCCGACAGAGUUGGGUGGUGUCUUCUUUUCUCUCCUCUGCUGUGCUGUCCCCCUUCCUAUUCCUCUAGUUCACACACUCAUAGUAACACACAUCCAUGUUCUGUGAAAAACAAAAAACAAAACAAACAAAAAAAAAAAACAAUUUUGCAUUUUCUCCGAUAUUUACCACACUUGUAUUCCUAUAUAUAAUGCAUGAAGGCCGUGCCGUUGCAAUAAAAUGAGCAAACUUG